rnacentral:rRNA from 1 species
CGAAAGCCUGACGGAGCAAGACCGCGUGAGGGAGGAAGGCUCUUGGGUUGUAAACCUCUUUUCUCAGGGAAGAAGCUCUGACGGUACCUGAGGAAUCAGCCUCGGCUAACUCCGUGCCAGCAGCCGCGGUAAUACGGAGGAGGCAAGCGUUAUCCGGAAUGAUUGGGCGUAAAGCGUCCGCAGGUGGCAAUGUAGGUCUGCUGUCAAAACCCAGGGCUCAACUCUGGUCAGGCAGUGGAAACUACAUAGCUAGAGUUCGGUAGGGGCAAAGGGAAUUCCCGGUGUAGCGGUGAAAUGCGUAGAGAUCGGGAAGAACAUCGGUGGCGAAAGCGCUUUGCUAGACCGAAACUGACACUCAGGGACGAAAGCUAGGGGAGCG